rnacentral:misc_RNA from 1 species
AAGCUGCCAGCGUGCUGUGCCCUUGGGCAAGACUAUCCCAAAAGAGGCCUACCCAAAGCCGCUACUUUGAAGGCUUGCUCAACCGCUGUUCGAGAGCAGUUAUUUCGGUGAACACGGCAGGUAUCAUUCGUUUCAUUUUUUUUUUUUCGUCGACUCAAGGCGCCUCCGCUAUUCUAUCAACUUUACCCCCCCCCCCCCCCACACACACACACACACAUAAGGACGCCUCCAGGCUAUUGCACCCAGUGUUCUCACGGGUACUUCGGAACUCCGUGGUGUCUGCGGUUGCUUGAGAGAAGUCUCUGCACCUCUCGGCACACCCAAAGACACGCAACCGCCCACUGUGUUGGCCCCUCGCACCCACAAUCGCUCCUCUCCCCUCCAUAGACAUGUACGCAUAGACGUAAAAAAAUAUACAUAUAUAUACCAACCCUCAACCGACACAACGAGGAGGAGAGCAACAGGGCUUCCACUUCUGCGCUGCGCCACCCGCGAACAAAAAGACGAGAAGGCGUGUGCAUAUAUACAGAGCAUCCACCAUUUCUUUAGUAUUGUUGACGCCACCAGUAGUAACCAGGAUCGGCCAGGUGUGCUGUGACGCAUUCCCCUCUCUCUAGAGCAUACGUACACUCUUACCAGGCGGUUGCCUGCGUAGCCGACUGCCGUGUCCCUCCUCCUUCGGCUUCGAAGCUCCCUCACCCUGUGCUAUUCCACCCCACUCACUAAACACACACACACACACACACACAUUGUCGCGCUAAUGUCGGCCGAUGCUCGAGCGCAGCUCCUUCCCAGCGGCACCGAGGUGGCUGUGGAGAAGUGCUUCCCAGUGGACGAUGCCCCUGCGCGGUCGGCGGAUUGUAUUAGCUGGGGCCCUCACAACGUCUUGCAGGUGUGCACACGCUGGGCCGUUUCGAUGUACCUGGCAAACCUGCUCACCCCUGCGUGUCAGCGAAGCGUUCGCCAUCAUCCGCUAGUUCACCGCAGCGACGGAGAAUCUGUCGAGGUGGUCGUUGGCGCCAGGUGGAGCACCGCCUUACUGCCGGAGGUGUACUAUCCGGCUACCGCUCGUCUGUGUGUGCAAACAACCAGUAAUCUGGUGGUGUAUCGCGUUUCUCGCCACGGGGCGAACCGCGUGGUGGCGAGCCACGGAAUCGGUAUUGCGUGCUCUCGCGGAGGGUUUGCCCGACUCUCCGCUCACAGCGACGGCACCGUCGCCGAAGCUUCACCCAGUGAAAGGCCUCUCUCUUGUUUCCCCGCGGCUGAACGGCCCCCUAUCGGGAAGCGCCGCAGAGGCGCCUCAAAAUCUUCCGUGAAGGUAACGUCAAAGCCAAAGACGAAGCCCGCGACGAAGAAGACAUCUGCCGCAGCUAGACGGAAGAGAAGACAAGGGAGCUGCAGCACAGCGAAUAGCAGCAGUGAUGACGAGAGCGCCAGCAGCAGCAGCAGUGUCGCAAGCUCAUCUUCAGGGAGCCAGCCUUUGGCGUCGCGUUUUGCUCCCCGGUCGAGGGCGUCGGCUGCUGGUGCCGGCAAGGGCGGCAGCUCGCAUGACAGCGCGAUGUCGACGCUUGUGAGUGCAGGUGACCCAGAUCGCGCACACGCUGAAACUAAACCACUAGAAGCCGACAGCGCCUCGACGGAGAACGACGACGUCGGCUCUGUGGUGGACUACACGUGGCUCGACCAGGAUGAUCUGCUUGUUCUCAGUAGCCAGGGCCUUCACCUGGUGGCACUCGCUGGGAACUUAUCAGACAAUGAUGGACCUGUGACGCGCUCCCUGCCGCCGCCCUUGUAUAGGUGGGGAGGCGAGGAUGAAGUGGCGCAGCUCGGGUUUCGAGGGCCUGCUCCGCUAUGCAUGACACCCCUCUUUACAGAUGGGCUUGCCGCCUCGACGGCGACCGCUGCUGCUCUCGCGCGGCUGCGGCGCAUAGUAGUGAUUGCUAGCCCGUACAUGCUACGUGUCAUCCAUGUGACGCGCUCGUCACCGGCAAACGCGACUGCUGUGGUGCACCUCGCUUACACGGUGGAGGUGCCGUCGUUGACGUCGGUGCCGACAUCCGUGUGCGCUGCGGCCGUGCAGCGCACAGAGCAGACGGCGGCGCGAGCGGCAGACCCGCCCUCAGGGCCCGAAAUCGACGUGGUGGUAUUCGUGUCCGCGCCAUGUGCGGUGCUACGGGGGCGCUUUGCACUGGCAGCGCUGUCGUCGUCUUCUGAAUCCGCGCUGUCAUCGCCCUGCCGCCGCAUCGUAUUUCAAGUCGACGCGCACUACGGCUCCGACAUCCUCGUGGGCGAGGUGUGCCUGCGCCGGCUGAUGGCGGUCCCGUUUGUGGCUGAUUCAAGGGUCGCAAGUGCCGAUGUCAGCAGCGAAGGUGCUCGCAUCAACUCUUCGAGCACCGAGCUAGACGAUGCAGCCGUCGCGGUCCUUGGAAUCGGCGAAAAAACCGUGUACGAGUUUCUCGCCUGCGGUCCGUCCUCGACGGUGCUGCUCCAGUGCCCUUUUCUGGCGGGCUGUAGCGAGAUGCCACCACGCAGGUGUGCCGGGAUCGCGGGGGUAGCGCUGCACCCGUCUGGUACGCUGGCGGUGGCGGCUGUGCAAACAGGGCAAGCAAACCAUGAGCCGACGCACCUGUGGCCCGUCUCGGUGGACACGCGCGGCGGGUGGCUAAGAAGACUGGUGGAGCUGGGCGCUCUCGUGCCCGACGCGGUAACUGGCAGGCCGCACGAAGACAGCGCUUUCGGAGGCGCUGUCGAACCAUACGAGUCCUCGAGGAGCAUAGUGCGAUCUAUGCUGCUGCAGCAGGCAAGCGCGUCUUUCUUUCUCUAUGAACAACUUUUGCCGGGGUCCGUGGCGCAGUCCAGCGAGGUUCACCGGUAUGCGCAGGCGCACCAGCAAGCACGCCAGCUGCCGACCACAGAGAUGCUGCACGAUUAUCGGCGAUCCAUGAUGCCCGGCUGCGUCGCAUCCUCGCGAAUGCCUUCUCUAGCGGACAUGCCCGCGCGCCGCCGAUACCUGCAUUUGCGAACACAGUACGGGGUAGACCUUUUCUUACGGUGGCCUUUAAAGCCGCUCACGGCUGCCGGAGAUGCAGCGAGCGGCGUGUCAUCCGUCUUUGCGUCGUCACCUUCCAUGGAGGCAAUGCAGGCCUCGUGGCCGUGGUGGCGGCUGCUGCAGCACAUAUGGGCAACCUGUCCGUGGGAUAGGCCGGCGCUCAGCGAGCUUGUCCUCUCGAACGCUGUACGAAUCCUCGCCAAACGCUAUCGCUACGCGAACAUGACGCUGGAGGGCUCAGAGAGUCUCCGCGACUGUGCAGCGACGGCUGCGGAAUCGGCGCGCUGCUCGACAAAGCCAGACGCACUCGACGUUGACGGCGCCAUUGCCUUUAUGGAGGCCUACAUCAAGGCACAGAAGAUUGCCGUGCGCAAGGCCAACGGCAGCACACAAGCAGCGUCCAUCUCAAGCCUUCGCCUCAUCACUGCUGCCGAUUGCGCUGAGCCUGCAGGACCAGAUGGAGACAGCGAGAGGCCGCCACGCAAGGCUGCGAGAGAUGCCCCGCAACUGGCGGCGCAGGUGCACUGGUGCGUGUCGCCGUCGUGGGUGGCCUCAUUGGAGGCUUUUUUAGAAGCCACCGCCUACAGCCACCGACGGAGCGCUGGCGUCUCAUCAGCUGUAGGCGGCAAUGCUUCGGAGACCUCAUCGCCGCACUUGUUCCCCUGCUCUCUCUGUGAUCGUCCCACUUGUGUACCUUUGCUGCUGAGUCUCUCGAGCACAUCGACGCACGUUCCAGCCGGUGACGAUCCUGAAGUGAAGCGGGACGUAUCUGUUACAGCUCCCGCGUCGCACACCACCCUCUUCUCCGGUAGCACGCUUAGUCCUCUCUCCUUUUUCUCCGAGGACUACGUGCUAACACGGUGUCUCGCGUGCGGACUGAGUGACUUCGCAGACGGGCCGCGGUGCCGCGUGUGCGGCGGGAUGCUGGAGUGAUCAUGUCUCCGGCUCUCUGCGGUUUCAUCGUUGCUCGACCGUGGCUCGUUGGGUGCCACUCCCCAGCCGCGACACGCCGCACUCGAAAGUGGGCGGGCGCGACCACUGUACCGCGGCGGCUUCCCCCUUCUCACGUCGCGCAAGCCUUCAGGUUUCGCCUUCUCUCAAAGGAGUACAUUGUCGGAACCGACACGGCGGUGAGGGCGCGCUUUGGGGAGUGAGUGCGGACGACUAACUCGUGCUCGCUCUCUCACUCUCCUCCUGAGCGCCUGACCCCCUUGCUAUGCCGACAAGCGAGUGUGCGCGAGUGCCUGCGGAGAGUACGCUAUUUCCGGCCUUUUCUUUGUUUAUGGUUGCACGCAUUUCGAGGGACAUGGCAAUGAGACGUGAUCGGGGGGGCGGUGGGGCUUUUCUUUUCGUUGACCAGUGGAGGCGCCAUCUCUCCUCUACCUCUGCCGGCUCCUUCUUGUUGCCCUUAUCGAUGCGAUUCGGUCCCAGUGACGUCAGGGCCCCUUCUCUCUCGUUAUUUCCGCUGUCCUUGCCUCCAAAAUAAGCCUCGCUCACCCCGACCCCCUUCGUGUCUCCCCCCGGUGAGACAGGAAACUGGAAGGGCAUGUGGCCCCGCACUCUCGCACGUGCACACAAGCACAGUCGCAUGCGCGUAUGGAUACUCUUGUGUAAAAGACGUUCUCUGAUCCUGUCGGCGUGGCCCUCGGUGUACGCUGCGCGAACGCGCACACGCACACUGCCCAGAAAUCGGAUCCACAGGGACGAAUAUACCGACUCGCUCAAUGACCUCGGCGCAACACCCCCCACUGCGCCAUCUUUCUCUCAUGCUGGCCAAGGAGUGGAAGUGCCUACACGCGCACUUUUUCACGUAUGCGCCUGUACGUGGUGUCCAGGUGGCAUCACACUACGAAUCAACGAGGGACG